ensembl:lincRNA uncharacterized LOC110322853
GCACUAAGCAAUGGGUUCCCAUCAGCCAAGGGGGGGGGGAGGAAAUGAUGCUGAUGAAUUUUAAAGUCCAUGUAGUCGGAGAUGUCCUGAUGCCUGCCACCAAGAACUUGAACCUGCCACGCAGAUGCUUGGUGUCUGGCCCAAAGCAUUGUUUAGCGGAAUGAGAGAUUAUAGGGCUCUUUACAAGUGAGCACCUACCACGUAUGUGGGUAAAGGUUGACUACACAACCACCGUUUUGUAAAAAAUGUGUUAACCACCAGAAAAAUACCACAAACCAUCAGAGAAGAUUUGGUCUAGAUAUCCUGGAGAUAUUGAGGCAACAAACAAAAACAAACAAAACCCCCAAACAAACAAAAAAAAAUCCCAAACAAACAACAAGACCAAGAGCGUGUUUCAGUCCAUUUACUUUUUACCAGACAAGAAAUAAAAACUCUUCCUGGC